UACGUAGGGCGCAAGCGUUGUCCGGAAUUAUUGGGCGUAAAGAGUUGCGUAGGUGGCAUUGUAAGUCGGUAGUGAAAGCGUGAGGCUCAACCUCAUAUCCAUUACCGAAACUGCAAAGCUAGAGGACGAGAGAGGUUAUUGGAAUUCCCAGUGUAGGAGUGAAAUCCGUAGAUAUUGGGAGGAACACCGAUGGCGUAGGCAGAUAACUGGCUCGUUCCUGACACUAAGGCACGAAAGCGUGGGUAGCAAACGGG
rnacentral:rRNA from 1 species